CAGAGCGAACGUUAGCGGCGGGCCUAACACAUGCAAGUCGAGCGAGAAAGUGGCUUCGGCCAUCAGUAAAGCGGCGGACGGGUGAGUAACACGUAGGUAAUCUUCCCUUGAGCGGGGGACAACGAGCCGAAAGGCUCGCUAAUACCGCAUACGUUUCUCGGGACUCUGGUCCUGGGAAGGAAAGCUAGGCAGCAAUGUCCGGCACUCGAGGAGGAGCCUGCGUCGCAUCAGCUAGUUGGUGGGGUAACGGCCUACCAAGGCGAAGACGCGUAGCUGGUCUGAGAGGAUGAUCAGCCACACUGGGACUGAGACACGGCCCAGACUCCUACGGGAGGCAGCAGUGGGGAAUCUUGCGCAAUGGACGAAAGUCUGACGCAGCCACGCCGCGUGAGUGAAGAAGGCCUUCGGGUUGUAAAGCUCUGUCGCCCGGGACGAAUAUUUUUGAGGUUAACAGCCUCAGGAACUGACGGUACCGGGAGAGGAAGCACCGGCUAACUCCGUGCCAGCAGCCGCGGUAA
rnacentral:rRNA from 1 species